rnacentral:siRNA from 1 species
UCUCUAAAUCUCUUCCCAAGCUGC